GUCCUAAUAGCUUACAUCAAAGCAUUGUUCUUGUAAACCAAAGCCGGAUUUAUCCUUAGGACA
rnacentral:tRNA from 1 species